GAUGAACGCUGGCGGCGUGCCUAACACAUGCAAGUCGAACGAGGCCCUUUGUAUUCGUACGAAGGUGUCCAAGUGGCGAACGGGUGAGUAACACGUUGGUGACCUGCCCCGAAGAAGGGGAUAACUCCGGGAAACUGGAGCUAAUACCCUAUGUGCUCCAAGGAGUUAGAGGGCUUUGGAGUAAAGGAGCAAUCCGCUUUGGGAGGGGCCUGCGGCCCAUCAGCUAGUUGGUAGGGUAAAAGCCUACCAAGGCAAUGACGGGUAGGGGACCUGAGAGGGUGGCCCCCCACACUGGCACUGAAACACGGGCCAGACACCUACGGGUGGCAGCAGUGGGGAAUAUUGCCCAAUGGACGAAAGUCUGAGGCAGCAACGCCGCGUGCGCGAUGAAGGCCUUCGGGUUGUAAAGCGCUUUUCUGGGGGAAGA
rnacentral:rRNA from 1 species